UCUCAAGAUCCAAGCUCAAGAGGCUCAAUCGAAAAGCUAGAGUUGACAAAAUUGGCAAGCAGCUGUGUAUGGAGAAGAAGAGCCUUGAAUGUGCCGAGAAAAAUGUUCAGAAUUGGAAGAAGAAGGCAAUAGAUUAUAAACUGGAACUCAACGUGUAUCGAGCUAAGCAAUUACGGACAGGAACUCUGGGAACAUCCUGCAGUCACCAACGACCACUAAAGUUACUAACAGCAGCCAUGAAGACGAGUGCAAUCAGUCUACCCAAGGCAACUCCAAGAAUGUGUACGAAUGCUGAUAUUAUGCGAGGAGUUACUGUAGUUCCAGAGAUAAGUGAGAAAUGUUUAGCAGAUGGGGGUGGUGAUGUUCAUAUAGGAAAUGGUCGGUUUGGAACAUGCUCUCGUAUGAUUUUUAAAGAGUGUUUUGACGUCUGUGUCAAAACAUUUACUUCCGACUCCUCAAUCGAAUCGAUUAGGCAUGAAGCCAGUAUAUUACUUACAUUAAAUUCCAGCCCUUAUAUACCACACUGUUUUGGUAUUUGUUCCACCAGGAGAGCUUUAGUAAUGUCUAAUGUAAGCGUGAAGCAGCAACAAGUUUCAUUAUAAUUAUUCUGCCUUGUAUUCGACUAACGAAAUUAAAUUAAGCCCUAAGACAUGGAUGCAAAUACUGAUCCAAAUUUGUGAUGGUCUAUCAUACAUGCACAAGCUGAGUAUUCUUCACAAUGAUCUUAAAGUAGACAACGUAGUAUUAGGGACUACUUUGUUAGAAUGUAUCCGGCCAUGUAUUGUGGAUUUUGGAAAGGCAUGUAAAGAAAAGCAUGCUAAGAAGUACUGCCUGACCGAGGAACAGAAAGUUAUUUACAUAAAAGAACACACUCAAGUAGCUCCAGACCUCCGCGAUGGGCUUGUUUUACAGAGCACACAGAGCGAUAUAUACUCAUUAGGUAGAAUAAUGAAGAAGAUGAACUCCAUUGUAAUUAAGUCAACUGAACUUGCCCAUGUAAUUAAGGAAUGUCUUUCUUAUCAUGCUCAUGACCGUCCUAGCUUAGAAACCAUUUCUCUUAAUGUUGAAUGACUAUGUGACUAAUUAUGUCUUACAUUCAUUCGUUCAUGUUUAAAUCUGGUGCUAGCUUUAACUAUGACAUAGUCUAUGUAUAAUUGUAGGCAAAUCCGUGCUCUCUAAUGGAAGGCUGACAAGGUUAGCUGUAAGUCGGGAUGCGUGUUGACCCAGCCAUUUGUUUGAGAGUCAUUAAAAGCAUUAUGGUAGAGAAUUGGCCUGAAGCAGUUAGUUAUGAGUCACAUAGUGCGUAUUGGCUGCUCAGGUUGGGCCAUGCAUGCAUUAACAAUUAACAAUUAACAAUGAUCAACAACGUUUUUUCACCAGAUUUACACAUACAAUUUCAGAUAGUAGUCUAGGUGACUCUAACAUUUCACCAUUGCUAUUUCUAUAUGUUUUCGGUCCAUACUUAAUUCUAGGACAUACUACAAUAGGAAAAUCUACUGUGCAGCCAUUGCCAUAUCUAUCAUACAAAAUAUACCAACUACCUAUAAAAUAUUCAUCGUUAAAAUCAGUUUGUUGAAGUUGGAGCUUUCCGCGGGUCAUUUGGGUUCCUCGAUCUUUAAAUAGGUAACGAAAUACAUCUAGCCGGAAAUCUAUAGUUAAAUUACAGGAUUUUACAGUACCUAAAUUUAAACUACAUUGAAUGGACAGAACAAAUCUUCUUGUUGCGUCGCUUAUAAGCUCGGUAUG